CUGCUUGGUUUCAAAACCUCAUGGUUGAAGACAUUAACCAUAAUUUCAUAGAGUGAUCUCCUUUAGACUAUACUCUAGGGUUCUGAGGGGUGGGAAAUGCUACUAGUCUAGGUUUUUAUUUUUGUAUUGUUUUGUUGUUGUGUUUGGUUUGGUUGUCAUAAAAAAAAUAAACCUUUUAUUUUGACUGCAUAAAAUUUAGAAAUGUUUAAGCAGCGAAGAAUAUCUUAAGCACACAAACAGAAACAAAUGUGUAAUGAAGAAUUUGGCUGGCCUGUGUUCGAGGUUCCUGAAGAUCUUUGGAUUUCUGGAAUGAUAGGAGUGUUUUUGUUAUUCAUGGUGGACCCCUUGAACCACAUCUAAGUUUUUGCUAAUGAGGUGCCUCAUGCUGGGCCCCUAGGUAGCUUCAGGGUGGGGGCCUUUCAAGCCUGAAAAACCAACCAUGUGAUUAGAGGGUUGGUUUUGAGCCAGGUGACAUCAACCCAACCCCGCAGGAGAGGAGGGGGACUGGAGAUUGAGUUGUCAAGUGGGCAGUGAUUCAGUCAAUCUUACCUAUGUAAUGAAACCCUAAUUAAAACUUUGGACAUUGAGGCUUAGAUGAGCUUUGCUGGUUGGUAAUCAUACUUGAUGUGUGAGGGUGAUGUGUCCUGAGGACAUGGCAGCUUUAUGCUUAGACUCUCCUAGACCUUGUCCUAUGCAUCUCUUCAUUUGGCUAGUCCUGGUUUGUCCCCUUCAUUGUAAAACUGUAAUCUUAAGUAUAGCACCUUCCUGAGUCCUGUGUGUCAUUCUAUUAAAGUAUCAAACCUGAGGUUGUUGUGGAGGGUGUUGGUAGCCAGUUGCUCAGAAGUGUGCAUGGCCCGAGGACCUUCAAACUUGGGGCUGAUGGUUGAAGUGAGAGUCUCUUGUGGGAGACAGUGUCCUUAACCUGUGAAAUUCAACCUUACUCUGGCUAGUUAGCAUCUGAAUUGCCUUGCAAAGUGGUUGUAGAAUGUCAACUCCCCGAAAUUAACCUGUGAAUUUAGAGUUAAACUAAUAGAAUAUCAUGCAGUUUGACUGUGGUGGUUUGGUUUGGGAUGUGUCCCCCGUGUCCCCUGCAUUGGCAGGCGGAUUCUUAACAACCUCGCCACCAGGAAAGUCCCCAAAGUACUUUUA